CCAGCCUUUCCCUUCACGGAAGACAUUGCCACGUACGGUACAGAUGAAAAAGUCAAGAGCCAGACAUCCCAUGCUGGAUGCGAAUUUAAACUCUCCGCUCGCAACCGGGUGAGGGCCGGGUCAGGGAAGCACAUGCAGUUUUCCAAAGGGAACACAGAGAACUUUAAGAAGAAUGCAAACGGACAAGAUCCAGGUUUGGCCGAACGCUUCUAAAACCUUUUGCUGCAAGAGAGGAAUAUGUGGCAUCUCCGUUCAGUGUCUCUGGAUUCCGAUCAUUGAAAUUGAACCACAAGUCUGGCACAUGUGAGGUAAGUGUUUCACCACUGAGCAACACCCAUCCCUAACUCUGGUUUUAUUAUUUUAAAUCUUGAGAUAGUGUGCCAGACUUGCCUUAAACUUGCUGGAUAGUCCGGGAAGCCUUGAACUCUAAGUAGUUGGAGGGUCAUAGAUCAGGCCAUCAGGACAGAUUUGGCUUAUUUUUCUAUUCUGAUUGUGAAACAUUUAGUCUUUACCAACAAUUUGAAUGGUAGGGGAUUGCUUGUAGAACAGUUUGAAUCUCUCAAAUGCCACCUCUAGUUCAACCCAAUGUUCUCUUUUGCAGGUUAUUUUUAUAGAUGAUAAUAAAUAGGAAUUGUUAACAUGGUGUGGUGGUUUGAAUAGGAAUAUUCCCCCACAGACUUGUGUGUUUAAAUGCUUAUCCCAUAGGGAGUGGCACUAUUAGGAAGUGUGGUCUUGUUGGAGGAAGUAUGUCACUGUGGGGGCGGGCUUUGAGGUCUGAUACUCAAGCUACACCUAGUGUGGUAAAUAGUCUCUUCCUGAUGCCUUCAGAUGAAGAUGUAGAAUUCUCAGCUCCUUCUCCAGCAUUAUCUCUACCUCCUUGCCACCAUGUUUCCUGUCAUAAUGACGAUGGGUUAAACCUCUGAAUAUGUAAUACAGCUCCAGUGAAAUGUUUUUCCUUAUAAGAGUCACUGUGGUCAUGGUGUCUCUUCACAGCAAUAAAACCCCAACUAAGACACAUGGUAAGUCAUUCUCUAGCAUGUGCAUCAGUGGUCACAACUGGGAUCUUACUUAGUUGAAAUGUCAAAGAAACUCGCAGUUCCUGCAUUCCGAUUCUGUGAUGUGCCUUCCUUCUACUUCACGUCUCCUCACUCUCAUCCAUCUAACGCAUCUAGAGACGUAAGUCUAUGCUUCUACAAUACCUCCUCAUAUUCAUUCAUGUUCAAACAUACACACUCAGAGUGGUUUUUAAACCCAUGUAAGAUCUGAUUACAUACAUUGCAGCAUUUUUCGUUUCUUUGCUUCAUAAAGAAGGCCAAUAUGAGGUUCCUGACUUAACAUUUAAACUUGGACCUUGAAAUCCAUUUGUAAGUUGGGGAAGAAUGUGGAAGUCACCUUUAAAAGGUCUCUUGUUUGUUUGUGUUUUCUUUAAGGCUGGGUAGGACAUUUUCAGUACCAACUGACCACUAAACAUGUGUUUACAGAAGACUGAAAUGCAGAAUGACAAUUGAAAUUAUUUAGAGGCCCCAUUACUUUCCUCCUUCUGUUAUAUAGCUUAUUAAUCUUAGGCUUCAAUCAUGUCAACCAAUUAAGUAACCAGUUACCAAGAGGCAUGGGCUACCCUGUAAAGGCUCUAGGAACAGGUGGACUCCAGCUGAUCGUCCACAGAGGCAGACUCUCCAGAUGAAGCCUGUGUCUCAGGUGGAGGCAUUAGAUAAAUGCAAGAAGAUCUGUUUCCUGUUUGCAAUCUUUGAAGAAGAACCAAAUAAAUUCUCGAAGAAAUGGAUGAUAUCUUAAUCAAGUAUCAUGUUACUUUAGUUCAUGAGAAUCAAGAUCACUCCUUACAAAUGGAAGGCUGAUGUAGUGGUUUCUGUUGAUGCUCUUCAGCAGCAACUUGGUCCAGAUACCAGAAAGUUAAAGAAGAAGAAGAAGCAGAGAAGUUGGAAGACUAUUGUUGCAAUUAUAGGAACAGGAAGACCAACUGUUGAAUAUAUAGUAUACAAGCAAGAGGAGGAGGAAGAAGAAAUAUGUGGCUUUGGUGACUUUCAAAUCUUUACGGCAAGGAGAAAAGAUGCUACAAAGGAUAAUAUUUAACAGGGAGCACCAUCCCAAGAGUCAAGCUGUUCUGAAGACCAUUUAAUGUUGUUGUUAUAAUGUUUACAGUGUCCUAUUUCUUAAGAUAUGAAUUUUGGAUAUUACUUCUGGUUCACCAAUGUUUAUUUCUAUAUCUGUCUCUGUGUAAAUGAAUGAAUGAAUGUAUAUAUUUAUACACACAUAUACACAUACAUGCAUAUACAUACAGAUUUUUAAUAUAUAUGAACACAAAAUAUAAAUGGAACAUGAUUUUAUAUUAAGCUUUAAUCCAAUUUUUGUCAAAAGUUUUGAUUCAGACCUUGUAAACUAGAUAUAUCUUCAUCUUUUUGCUAUUCAAUAAGAGGAAACUAGCUUACAAUAAAGCAGUUUAUAUUUUCCUGACU
ensembl:antisense Sorbs2os sorbin and SH3 domain containing 2, opposite strand